AGAGUUUGAUCAUGGCUCAGGAUGAGCGCUAGCUACAGGCUUAACACAUGCAAGUCGAGGGGAAACGACAUCGAAAGCUUGCUUUUGAUGGGCGUCGACCGGCGCACGGGUGAGUAACGCGUAUCCAACCUGCCCACCACUUGGGGAUAACCUUGCGAAAGUAAGACUAAUACCCAAUGACGUCUCUAGAAGACAUCUGAAGGAGAUUAAAGAUUUAUCGGUGAUGGAUGGGGAUGCGUCUGAUUAGCUUGUUGGCGGGGUAACGGCCACCAAGGCGACGAUCAGUAGGGGCUCUGAGAGGAAGGUCCCCCANAUUGGAACUGAGACACGGUCCAAACUCCUACGGGAGCA
rnacentral:rRNA from 1 species